rnacentral:pre_miRNA from 13 species
CUCAGCGGGAUUUUUCGUUGUGCUUGAUCUAACCAUGUGGUUGCAAGGUACGAAUAAAACAUGGUUCUGUCAAGCACCAUGGAACGUCACGUAGCC